UAGUGUAUAGUUUAUAUUUAAAACAUCGUGUUGCAAACACGCUGAUGGCUUAAAACCCUUCACUUU
rnacentral:tRNA from 1 species